rnacentral:rRNA from 1 species
UACGUAGGGGGCAAGCGUUGUCCGGAUUUAUUGGGCGUAAAGAGCGUGUAGGCGGCCAUACAGGUCCGUUGUGAAAACUGGAGGCUUAACCUCCAGACGUCGAUGGAAACCGUAUGGCUAGAGUCCGGAAGAGGAGAGUGGAAUUCCUGGUGUAGCGGUGAAAUGCGCAGAUAUCAGGAAGAACACCCGUGGCGAAGGCGGCUCUCUGGGGACGGUACUGACGCUGAGACGCGAAAAGCGUGGGGAGCGAACAGG